rnacentral:tRNA from 1 species
GGCCGGGUGGCGGAAUGGUAGACGCGCAGGUCUCAAAAACCUGUAGAGCCUUAAACUCUGUGAGGGUUCGAGUCCCUCCCUGGCCA